UAAAAUAAUUGAAAUCCAGAGUAAAUUGGAUAAUUGGAAAUUCACGUAAAAGAUUUUCUGUUUAUCCAGUUUUACAAAUUGAUCCAAAUUUCUAAAUAUAAGGCGUUUCGUUGCGAAAAGUUUCAGUAACAUUUGGUAGGUCUAGAGAGAGAUGGAUUUAUGAACACGGUUUCCGCAUCGCGUUGACUACUGCUGCCAUCUUGACAUUCUGGGCGAGUGUCAUCGGCGGGAGGAGCGAAAGGGGGCAGAGGAAGAGGAAGAAGAAAAACAGGAAGAGGACUUCUCUUGCUUGCUGGGAAUGGAUCCACCAUAAUUAAUAAACAAGAAAAAGCUGACGAGUCGUCGUGACCUAAAUGAUAAGACGUCAUGUUCACGAUUCACUCCCACGGUGAAGGAAUAACAUCGUUUAAUAAAAAUCAAACUCGCAAAAUUAUAAUUUGCGUAAUUACUGGUGGUAGGACCUCUUGUGAGUCCAGUACAUUGUGCGAACAAUACGAGUUUAGUUAACAAUAUUUGGUGGCUGGCUGUAGGAUUUGAACCCUGGUAUUUAUUCUUAUUUAUGAUUUCAAUUUUUUUCUACAUAUAAACAGAUGUUGAUAUAUUAACAGAUCUUAGUCAAUUGAAAUUUAUUUAAUUGUAUUCUUUUUAAAUUUUUAGUGUCAUCAACAAAAGCAUUUUUGAAAAAUUAUAUUUUUCCGCCAAAAAACAAUAAAAUAUGAAAUGCAAUACAUUAAA